rnacentral:rRNA from 1 species
AUAUUGCACAAUGGGCGCAAGCCUGAUGCAGCCAUGCCGCGUGUAUGAAGAAGGUCUUCGGAUUGUAAAGCACUUUCGACGGGGACGAUGAUGACGGUACCCGUAGAAGAAGCCCCGGCUAACUUCGUGCCAGCAGCCGCGGUAAUACGAAGGGGGCUAGCGUUGCUCGGAAUAACUGGGCGUAAAGGGCGCGUAGGCGGUUUGGACAGUCAGAUGUGAAAUUCCUGGGCUUAACCUUGGGGGCUGCAUUUGAUACGUGCAGACUAGAGUGUGAGAGAGGGUUGUGGAAUUCCCAGUGUAGAGGUGAAAUUCGUAGAUAUUGGGAAGAACACCGGUGGCGAAGGCGGCAACCUGGCUCAUGACUGACGCUGAGGCGCGAAAGCGUGGGGAGCAAAC